CCUACGGGUGGCAGCAGUCGAGAAUCAUUCACAAUGGGGGAAACCCUGAUGGUGCGACGCCGCGUGGGGGAAUGAAGGUCUUCGGAUUGUAAACCCCUGUCAUGUGGGAGCAAAUUAAAAAGAUAGUACCACAAGAGGAAGAGACGGCUAACUCUGUGCCAGCAGCCGCGGUAAUACAGAGGUCUCAAGCGUUUUUCGGAAUCACUGGGCGUAAAGCGUGCGUAGGCGGUUUCGUAAGUCGUGUGUGAAAGGCGCGGGCUCAACCCGCAGACGGCACAUGAUACUGCGAGACAAGAAGAAUGGAGGGGGAACGGGACUUCUCGGUGAAGCAGAAAAAUGCGUAGGUAUCGAGAGGAACACUCGUGGCGAGGGGGGGUGCCUGGACAUUAACUGACGCUGAGGCACGAAGGCCAGGGGAGCGAAAGGGAUUAGAUACCCCAGUAGUC
rnacentral:rRNA from 1 species